rnacentral:rRNA from 1 species
ACAGAGACUGCAAGCGUUAUUCGGAUUCACUGGGCGUAAAGGGUGCGCAGGCGGUUGCGUGUGUUAGGUGUGAAAGCCCGGGGCUCAACCCCGGAAUUGCGCCUAAAACUACGCGACUAGAGUACCGGAGAGGAUAGCGGAAUUCACGGUGUAGCAGUGAAAUGCGUAGAUAUCGUGAAGAACACCAGCGGCGAAGGCGGCUAUCUGGAAGGUAACUGACGCUCAGGCACGAAAGCGUGGGGAGCAAAAGGGAUUAGAUACCCCUGUAGUCCACGCCCUAAACGGUGCACACUAGGUGUUGGCGGAUUCGACCCCGUCAGCGCCCAAGCUAACGCGUUAAGUGUGCCGCCUGAGGACUACGGCCGCAAGGCUA